UNUGACUUGAGUGCAGAAGGGGAGAGUGGAAUUCCAUGUGUAGCGGUGAAAUGCGUAGAUAUAUGGAGGANCACCAGUGGCGAAAGCGGCUCUCUGGUCUGUCACUGACGCUGAGGCUCGAAAGCGUGGGUAGCGAACAGGAUUAGAUACCCUGGUAGUNCACGCCGUAAACGAUGAGUGCUAGGUGUUAGGCCCUUUCCGGGGCUUAGUGCCGGAGCUAACGCAAUAAGCACUCCGCCUGGGGAGUACGACCGCAAGGUUGAAACUCAAAGGAAUUGACGGGGGCCCGCACAAGCGGUGGAGCAUGUGGUUUAAUUCGAAGCAACGCGAAGAACCUCACCAGGUCUUGACAUCCCGAUGCUAUUCUUAGAGAUAGGAAGUUACUUCGGUACAUCGGAGACAGGUGGUGCAUGGUUGUCGUCAGCUCGUGUCGUGAGAUGUUGGGUUAAGUCCCGCAACGAGCGCAACCCUUAUUGUUAGUUGCCAUCAUUAAGUUGGGCACUCUAGCGAGACUGCCGGUAAUAAACCGGAGGAAGGUGGGGAUGACGUCAAAUCAUCAUGCCCCUUAUGACCUGGGCUACACACGUGCUACAAUGGUCGGUACAACGAGUUGCGAGCCGGUGACGGCAAGCUAAUCUCUGAAAGCCGAUCUCAGUUCGGAUUGGAGGCUGCAACUCGCCUCCAUGAAGUCGGAAUCGCUAGUAAUCGCGGAUCAGCACGCCGCGGUGAAUACGUUCCCGGGCCUUGUACACACCGCCCGUCACACCACGAGAGUUUGUAACACCCGAAGUCGGUGAGGUAACCUUUUAGGGGCCAGCCGC
rnacentral:rRNA from 1 species